rnacentral:rRNA from 1 species
AGAGUUCGAUCCUGGCUCAGGAUGAACGCUGGCGGCGUGCCUAACACAUGCAAGUCGAGCGGAGUUAAGUUUUCGGAUUUAACUUAGCGGCGGAUGGGUGAGUAACGCGUGGAUAACCUGCCCUGCUCAGGGGGAUAACAGUUGGAAACGACUGUUAAUACCGCAUAUGCACACAGUACCGCAUGGUACAGGGUGGAAAGAUUUUAUCGGAGCAGGAUGGAUCCGCGUCGGAUUAACUAGUUGGCGGGGUAACGGCCCACCAAGGUGAUGAUCCGUAGCCGACCUGAGAGGGUGACCGGCCACAUUGGGACUGAGACACGGCCCAAACUCCUACGGGAGGCAGCAGUGGGGGAUAUUGCACAAUGGGCGCAAGCCUGAUGCAGCGACGCCGCGUGAAGGAAGACGUAUUUCGGUAUGUAAACUUCUAUCAGCGGGGAAGAAGAUGACGGUACCCGACUAAGAAGCCCCGGCUAACUACGUGCCAGCAGCCGCGGUAAUACGUAGGGGGCAAGCGUUAUCCGGAUUUACUGGGUGUAAAGGGAGCGUAGACGGCACAGCAAGUCUGAUGUGAAAACCCGCGGCUCAACUGCGGGAUUGCAUUGGAAACUGUUGAGCUUGAGUACUGGAGGGGCAGGCGGAAUUCCUGGUGGAGCGGUGAAAUGCGGAGAUAUCAGGAGGAACACCGGUGGCGAAGGCGGCUUGCUGGACAUGUACUGACGUUGAGGCUCGAAAGCGUGGGGGGCAAACAGGAUUAGAAACCCUGGUAGUACACGCCGGAAACGAUGAAAACUAGGGGUUGGAGUCCAUAAGGGGCGGGGGCCCACGU